UUUUUUUUUUUUUUUUUUUUUUUUUUGCCACGGAGUCUCGCCCUGUUGUCCAGGCUGGAAUGCAGUGGCAUGAUCUCGGCUCAUUGCAAGCUCCGCCUUCCGGGUUCACGCCAUUCUCCUGCUUCAGCCUCCCGAGUAGUUGGGACUAUAGGCGCCCACCACCACCCCUGGCUAAUUUAUUGUAUUUUUUUAGUAGAGACGGGGUUUCACCGUGUUAGCCAGGAUGGUCUCGAUCUCCUGACCUCGUGAUCCACCCGCCUCAGCCUCCCAAAGUGCUGGGAUUACAGGCGUGAGCCACUGCACCCAGACUUGUGAGGUUUUAAUAUGAAGUAUUAAAGCUAUGCUGGUUAGACAAUUUGAGAAAUGUUUCUUCUCCUAUUUCUGACAGAGUUUAUGUAAGAUGUGUGCUAUUUCUUCCUUAAGCAUUUGGAAAGAAUUCACUUAUUAAGCCAUGUGAGACUGUAGUUUUCUUUAUAAGGUGUUUAAUUACAGGUUCAAUUACAUAUAUAUGAAUAUUCAUUUCGGUAACCUGUGUUUGCUGAAUCAAUUUGUUCAUUUUAUCUAAAAUUUCAAAGUUGUUCUAUUAUUCAUUUAUCUUUUUAAUACUUAUAAGGUGUGCGGUUAGAAUUUGUGCCUUUUGUCUGUUUUGUUAAUCAAUCUUGCUGGGGGCCAUCAAUUUUAUCAGUGUUUCAAAAAAGCAAACUUUGAUUUUAUUCAUCCCUUUACCAUACUAAAAAUGUUUUGCUUAAUUUCCAAACUUACACUUCCACUGUGAUUAAAUAUUUGUAUAACU
rnacentral:lncRNA from 1 species